UAAAAAUAAUAAUAAUAAUAAUAAAAAUCUCUUUUUUGUAAUGUCACAGAAAUGCCAUUGGAUCAAAUGCAAAAAUUAUAUUGGUUAUAGAUUUUGUUCAUCACUAUAGAAGUUACUCAAAUAUGACAAAUUACGCUUGUGAGAACCCCUGAAUUGUGCAAAGGGUCCAUCAGAUUCACUUUGACCAGAAACACAACAAUCAUGGGGGUUCUGGAGGGUUAGUAGGCUGUUUCCACCAAAGACUAUAUUAUAAAUUCCAAUCCCUAAAAAAAACUAACAGCACACAUCUCCACAACAAGCUACAUGAUUUGAGGUAUCAUUCAUGUUCAUCAUACAAAAGUUACAGGGUUAGAGGUUUGUUCAGAUCAUUAAUCCUAUAAGAGCACCAGAAAUACUGACACUUGACAAACUUUUUGUAUUAUAGGCACCUAUAGCUUGUGAAAGAAAGAUGGAAAUAGAGGUCUGGUGUGUCUACCAUGUGCUCACAGGUCUGUACAGUGUUUAGAAAUGCUCAGAGCAGACUCUAAAACACAGGCAUUAGAGCACGUCUUCUGAAAUCCUUCGUCUCUAAUUACUGUGUAAGGUGUGAGACUCCACACACUCGCCCUGUGUGUGUGUGCAGUUAUUGCAUGGGAUAAUAAAUUGUGUGCUACAUUGAUAAACUAAUGCAAUUACAGGCAGGGUCACAAAGUCAGCUAAUUUACAGAUAGCAGUGUUUGGGGUGGAGGGGAUGUUGAAUGGCCCCUGGGGUCCUGAUGCAGUCUCUUUAUUUCCACUCGGAGUUUAAAGCAGACGAAUGUAGCAGGAUUGAUCCUCUGAACUACGUCGUACUGACCGUGUCUUAUAACAACACAGAGCUCUUUAACACAGGGCAUUUAUUUCUGCAGAUAGCAUCCAGACUAAAAAGAAAAACAGGCUUAGUAAUCAAAGCAAGUGAUUGAAAUCCGUAAAAAUGAUUCCAAAAGGAUUUUUUUUUCCACAGUGAUGCCAUAGAACCAUCAUUCGGGUUCCAAAAAGAAUCUUUCAGUGAGGAGUUGCUAAAAUUACCUUUAUGAAGAACAUUCUAAAUAAUCCAAAGAAGCUUUUU
ensembl:lncRNA